rnacentral:rRNA from 1 species
UACGGAGGGUGCUAGCGUUGUUCGGAAUCAUUGGGCGUAAAGGGCGUGUAGGCGGUUUGUUAAGUCAUGUGUGAAAUCCCUCGGCUUAACCGGGGAACUGCGUUCUGAUGACUGGAUGGCUUGAGUUCGGGAGAGGGAUGCGGAAGUUCCAGGUGUAGGCGGUAGAAAUGCGUAGAUAUCUGGAGGAACACCAGUGGCGAAGGCGGCCUCCUGGUACACUCCUGACACUCAGACGCGAAAGCUAGGGGAGCGAACGGG